GACGAACGCUGGCGGCGGGCUUAACACAUGCAAGUCGAACGGAAAGGCCCUGCUUUUGUGGGGUGCCCGAGUGGCGAACGGGUGAGUAACAUGUGAGUAACCUGCCCUUGACUGUGGGAUAACUUCAGGAAACCGGGGCUAAUACCGGAUAGGAGCUCCUGCUGCAUGGUGGGGGUUGGAAAGUUUCGGCGGUGGGGGAUGGACGCGCGGCUUAUCAGCUUGUGGGGUGGGUAGUGGCUUACCAAGGGUUUGGCGGGUAGCCGGCCUGAGAGGGUGAACGGCCUCAUUGCGACUGCGGUACGGACCAGUCUCCUACGGGAGGCAGCAGUGGGGAAUAUUGCCCAGUGGGCGGAAGUCUGAUGCAGCGACCCCGCGUGCGGGAUGCAGGCCUUCGGGUUGUAAACCGCUUUAGCCUGUGACGAAGCGUGAGUGACGGUACUGGGUAAAGAAGCACCGGCUAACUACGUG
rnacentral:rRNA from 1 species